UAUUGCUCAAUUUAGGCAUUUACACCUGAAGUAAAGUGUGCUAGAGGUUUACACCCUGUUUAUCUGUUUACCUUUGUCCUGUUUCCAUUGGAGUGGCCAGAAACUGUUAAUCUACAGGGGGUCUUGUUCUCAGCCUUACGCCCUUCGUCCUCCUCAGUAUGUGUAUAUAAACUAUACCAGUCACUGCAAGGGGCUGCAUUUGCAAACUGACGACGUGCCAGGGGCCAAGACCAAUGCAACCCCACCAGUGGCCCUAACUGGCCUAAGGAAGCGGGUGCAGCAUCGGGCGAUGAGCCCCGGGGCCAGCCAGACCCAUUCAGACUUGUGAAUGUGGACAGUUGUGCCACUUUGGAACCUUACAAGUGGCGCGACUGGCCUCAUUGUGCAUCCUGGGAAACAGUCAGCUGCUUGUUGAAGCUUUGUGAUGGAGGACCAUCCCCACCUCCCUCCCUUCCUCCAAACUUAGGGGAGGCAGAGGGGGAGAACACAGGAAACAAUCUGGUUUAAAUAUUCCUCAGUAUCGUGUACUUCAGUAAAUUUACAGACGGCGUGUACUUUGAUAAAUGUGCAUAGUUUUUAAGACAUAACAAAUAAAAAAAAUAUUUAUACACUACUGUUCAAAGGUUUGGGUUCAGUAUGUUUUUUU